UACGUAGGGGGCAAGCGUUGUCCGGAAUCAUUGGGCGUAAAGAGCGUGUAGGCGGCCCGAUAAGUCCGCUGUGAAAGUCCAGGGCUCAACCCUGGGAUGCCGGUGGAUACUGUCGGGCUCGAGUCCGGAAGAGGAGAGUGGAAUUCCCGGUGUAGCGGUGAAAUGCGCAGAUAUCGGGAAGAACACCCGUGGCGAAGGCGGCUCUCUGGGACGGUACUGACGCUGAGACGCGAAAGCGUGGGGAGCGAACAGG
rnacentral:rRNA from 1 species